GCCGAAGUUGGCUGGGGCCUUCACGGUCUUGCUGUUUCUUAGGCAGCGAGCGCGCUCGUCAUGCUGCCGCUGAGUCGGUGCUCUAGCUC
rnacentral:tRNA from 1 species